rnacentral:rRNA from 1 species
CGGGGGAAACGGAACCCCCGCGAGUCUGCUUGAGGGCGGUGUGCACUUUUCCUUCGCCAUAGUGCGUCGCGAUCCGUUGGUCGGCGGCUUAAAGCCCGGGGUUAUUAUCGGUGCUGCGGCGCGGGUUCGCCCGCGUCGCGGUGCCGAGUCCCCGGUGUGCGUGCGGCGGGCGGCUUCACAGCGCCCGCGUUCGCUUUCCCGGCCGCCGUGUAAGCCCGCCCCGUAGCGGGGCGGCAAGUUACGACGGUUAUGAAAUACGUGGAAGACGUCUCGACCGUCACCUACCCCGUCGCAAGGCGGGCGAGGGGGCGGCGGGCCUCUCCGGACCUUGGCUUUUGCCUUUCACAAGCGCGGAACGCGGUGGUUAGCUAGCGCGCGGCGGGCGGCCCGAAGGGGUUUCGUCAUCGCGCGUAUCCCAUUGAUACGUUCCCGCGAUGACAGGAGAGGACGGCUACAAAGGACUCUCCCGUGAGAGAAAGUGAAACACGGACCAAGGAUUUACCCUG